rnacentral:lncRNA from 1 species
GAAAUGAGGGAGAAGGUGGAUGAGGGGCUCCUUCCUUUUGUCCUCAGAUGACCCAAGCCAAGUGCAGAAGGCGAGCCUCCUCCCAAAGCUCGGCUAGUCCCUCCACCAAAGCCAGGAUCAGAGCCCACACCUGCCUGGCCAACCCCUGGCACUGAUGAUGCCUGGGUGCGGGUUAAGCUGGGAGGAGCUCCUGCCUGCCUGGAUGAAGAGGAGGUCAAGACUUUGUCCCCCACUCCGCAAGAUACCCUCUCUGUUCCGGAGCGGUGAGACAGGAUUUCACCAUGUUAGCCAGGAUGGUCUUGAUCUCCUGACCUCAUGAUCUGCCCACCUCGGCCUCCCAAAGUGCUGGGCUUACAGGCGUGAGCCACCGUGCCCGGCCAAAAAUAACUUUUAAAAACAUGAGUAUAGCAUACACACACACAAAAGUCCACAAAUCCUAGGUGUACCACUUGAUGAAUGAUCCCAACGUGAGCACACCUCUGGAUUACCACCUGGAUCAAGAAAUAGGACAUCACAGCAGCUGGCAGCUUCCAAGGAGAAGCUCUGGAAAGUUCUGCCUGUCUCAGCACCUGGCUGGAUCGGAAACGAGUUUUCUUUAACCAGAUUUUUAAUGACUGACUUAUGUGGACAAAUCAUAACUGAAUGAAUCACCUCCUUUGUUGAUUUUUUUGGGUACUUUAUUUGCUAUUAUAAAUGAUGCUGUAAUAAGCACCCUUGAAGAAAUCUUCAUAUCUGCCUCUCCUGUGUAGCAGGUCACAGUGCCUGGGUUUGGUUCUAGCCCUCAUUUGUGAACUGUGUGACUCACCAUGCCUUUUUUCUUUCUGUAAGACAGGAAUAAUGGUAAGAAUUUAAAUGGGGGUAAUAUGGAGCGCGUUUAGUUCAGAGCCUGGUGCAUACAAGCACUCAAUAAGUACUGGCGAUUAUUAGACCUUUAGAUUAAUUUAUUAGAAGUUGGAUUUCUGGUGAAAGGGUUUGAGUGUUUUUGAGGCUUUGGCACAGAAUACCCAGCUGGUCCCAGAAAGGUGGUUCCCAUUUACCUGCCCGAAGGUAAUUCACCCUUACUGAUACUGAGUACUGUUUUCUAAAAGAACAUUAAAAAUUGGAUAGGUUAAAAACAGGUGAAUACAUUUUUUUAGUUGCAUUUUUUUGGUUACCCGUGAGAGUGAACAUGUUGCCAUGUGUUUGCUGACCUCCUAAAUGGUCUAUUUGCUCCUACCUUUGUACCCCAAAAGUCUGCUCUCAAGAUGGUAGCCAGAAUGAUCCUUUUUGAGACAUAAGUCAAAAUUUCACUCUUCUCCUUAAAGCUCUGCAAUGGUUCUCAGGUUAAAAGCCAAAGUCCUGUUCAAGGCCUCCAGGGUCCUCACCACUUGGUCCCUUGCUCUUUCUGUUCUAGCCAACUUGGCCUUCUCCUGCCCCUCCGCCGCACCAUGGCAAUUUCCCCUGCUCUGUGUGGUCAACUACCUGAAUCUGUUCAAAGCUUUGCUCAAAUGUCUCCUUCCUGAUGAGACCUCCCCAGCCCCUGAGCUCCCCAUGCCUCACUCCUGAUCGCCUUACUUAACCCUUCUUUUUCUUUUUUGCCAGUAGUACUUAUCACCGUCUAAAAUACUUCAUAAUUUACUUGUUUAUUGUUUGCCCCUCUCCAAUAGAAUGUAAGCUCCUUGGGGCAGGGACCUUUGUCCUUUGUCUUGUUCACUGCUGUGUCCCAUGUGUAAACUUGUCUGGCACAGAAGAGGUGCUCGAUAAAUAUUUGUUGAGUGAAUGAAUGGUAAAUUUUCUGUUCAUAUUCUUUGACUAUUUUCUAUUGUAAUGUUCAUCUUUUUAGUAUUGGUUUAUAAGAUGUAUAUUUAGCACCUUUUCAUAUAUCACUCUUUGUCACAUAUUAUGCAACUAAUUUGUCAUUUCCAUCAAUUUUUAAAAUACUUUCUUGAUGCUUCAUUUUUAAGCUGUCAGAUUAUUAAUCUUUUCUUUAUGGUCUUGGACUUUAUUGUUGCAUAACCGCUGCCUUCACCAGGAACAUAUAAAUUUUCAAUUAAAUGUUCUUCUGAGAUUUUAUGAUUUCACUUUUUAUAUUAAACUCUUCAUUUUGUCUUCAUGUGUGGUGAGAGGUAAGAACAUAACUUUAAAGCAAAUUAACCAACUAUCCCCAAAUGAAUUAUAAAUAAAUUAAUCAUUUUCCAAUAAAAAAAAAAAAAAA